GUAUUCUGCACGGACUGCUGGGCAGCACUAGCACUCUGGAGAAGGUCUGCCGCUGUCUGCACUUUCCUGGUGAGAAUCCCCAAUGACAGUCCCACUUUUCAGUGGAGGAGAACAAAAUAUCUGUCUACUCUCUUGAAGAAGGACACGGCUUUGAUCAUAUUUGUUCAGGCUUGACUUGGCCGGAGGUUUUAGGUUCUUAGUCUCAAGUCAGCAGUCUCUCUCUCUCUCUCUCUCUCUCUCUCUCUCUCUCUCUCUGAAACACACACACACAGAGACGCACACACACACAAGCACACACAUACACAAGCGCAAAUCCUCUCUUUCUCUUUCUCUCAUUUCCCGUCAUAGGUUCUAUGCAGGCAGAUGAGUGUCACAGCUGUAACUGAGGCACAGAGCAGUACACACAGUGGAGCCGAUUUCCGCGAUGGCGAGAGGGGGCACCGGAGGUGACAACAAUAACAAGACUGUCCUUCGGACAAGUUUUAGAUUCUCAGGAUGAUGGAGUGAGUGAUGGAAUAGGUUGCCAACUGUAGUUACUCCACUCAGCACAGAAUGGCUGCGGGGAAAUAUAAUCAGACAUGCCCAAAGAAGUCUGCUUAGGGUGAAACAAAUACCUUUGAGGUUUAAAUCAGGAAGGAGAGACUGUUUCUACAGGUGUCAUACAAAAAUCAAUACUGAGCCAAGGAUUAUUGGAUCCCAUAGAACCACGGAGACUUGGUAGUGAAAUUCUUCCAAAGCAUUCCAUCCGUGCAGGCAGAUGGUGUUCCUAGGUUUGGAAAUAUAAAUCCCAUGGGAAGUCAGCUGAAGACCAUUUUAUGCAUCACUCAUCCUGUUAGAGCCCUGUGCUGUUCUGUCUCUCUAUAAGACUGGCUGAAACCACCACGGUUGUUUACAAUUUAUGCUCUAACUUUGGAUCACCUAGUUAAUACUCUAACUCCGAUUAUUACCAAAGACAAUGUUCUAUAAAAGAUAUUGUCUAUUAGAAGGAUGCUUCUGCAUUAUUAAUAAAAUCACAGGGAAAAUGCAACAUUUUGGAUGUCACAUCUGAUAAGUUGGCAGUUAAAGAACAGAAACAGCAAUAAGACUGCGUGGCUACAUUUUCCCAGUGCCACCAACUGGGAUUUAAGCUGACUAACAUUUUGAAAGCCCAGCCCAUUUCAUUCACAGCAGGAUGGCAGUGGGUGACUGAUCGUACCCGCCAGCUGGCUAAUGUCAUAAUUAACAAAGUUGCUACUACAUCUGCAAAGUUUAAUCGAAAAAUUUGCCAGUGAUAUGAUGGCCUUGUCACAGAGAUCACAAGGGACACGGAGUUGACUUUUGCUCAAGGUGGAACGACAGAGCUGUGUAGGCAAGAUGAGAAAUUGCGAACUUGUUCGGCCAAAGGAACGACUAUGCUCUGGAGAGUCCUGUAAUUUGCAGAAAAUGGACCAAGAUAACAUUUGAGUUCCAUGCUACCAAAAUCCUCUUGAGAAGGACAGCUAGCUACCCAGAAUAUUUAACAUUGUGACAUUGAAAUGUUGGAUGAACGAUUAAAAUGAAGAAUCUAGUCAUAGGUUGUAAGAAAUCGCUAAAUUAUUAUGUUUAAUCCAAAGAAGAGAAAGGAAAAGCUGUUUUCAUUCCCCCCAGCCUCUGAGGAGGCUAAUAAUGAAGGGGCCGGGAAGGAGGCCAGUGCUACCAGGGUUAUCUCACAACCUCAGAUGCUGGAUAAGUCGACGGAGGCAGAAUCGCUUUGGGAUGACAUUCAGAAAGCCUGGAGUGAUUACUUGCAAGAGAAAAGCCUACCUAUUCUUUCCAAGGUGCAGGAAUAUUCCCCUGACCUGCUCAUCCAGUGGUCCAGUAAUGAAUUACUGGAGACCUGCCUUAGACAAAGAAUGCACUCGGAGCCCCAACACACCUAAAGCCAUGCUUUGAAGGAUCUGCCAAGCUCACUUUUAAUCAUGAGAAAGAAAUUACCCACACGGAGUCAGCAGAAAAUGAGAAAGUAGAGCUCGUGCUGUGAAUAAUUCCAGCAAGUGCCAAGGGGCUAGUUGAGGAAUGGCUUCAUGAGAACAUGCUCUAGGGGAACUAUUAAUAGCCCACCAGUCGGGUAGGCAGCAUUCAAUCCUUCUAUGCCUUCUUUCGCCACCUGUUGAGGUCUUUCUUCUGAAACAAAGAAGAAAUAGACAAAUCAGACUUGCCCUCUUGGAAAUGUGGUCCAGAUUUCUCUACUCCCAAGCUCCAAAAAAGGUAUACAUUGGAUGGGCUAGAUCAACUCCUCCUGAGAGCCAUAAAUCCGCCAAGAGUUGUUUUCCAUGUAAGGGUGUGGUACAAUGGGGAACACCUGAUGUUGGAGGAAAGCAGGAGGACUUUAGAGUGGAGUUGCAUUCUAAUCUCUCUGCCGCUUCAACUAUGUGACCUGGGGCAAAUGAUAUAAACUCUAUGAGCCUCUUUCCUUAUCUUUAAAAUGAAGAGAAGUAAUACCUACCUUGUAGGGCUGUUGUGAGGAUUAAAUGAAGUAAUGCAUACAGUGCCUAACAAAGUAUUUAACAUCAUAUUUUUUAAAAGCUCAUGAAAUAUUAGUUUUUCUUCCUUCCCCUCUUUCUAUUUUCUCUCCUGUUCCCUUUUCUCUCCCUCCUCUGCCCUCUCCUUCCUUCAGAUGUUAGUCUAAAACAGCACCUUGGAUCUAAGCAGCACCUUUGAGAAAGAAAAGACUGCUUCAAGAAUGUCUAGUUGCACCUCCUUUCCGUAUGUGGCCUAAAUGCCUAGGUUGGAUCAAUAGUUUAAUUUUUUUAUUGAACUGUUUAAUAUUGACUAUGGACUUACAUUCACUUUUACUGUUUUCUGUAUAUUUACUUUUGCUUGAAGUGUUUUAAUAUUGACUAUUUACCUCUGCUCAUUUUUAUUGAUUUUCUGUAUUUUUUCAAUGAAAAUUAUAAUAAAAAUUAUUUUUGUUA
rnacentral:lncRNA from 1 species